AAUUCUCAACCUUUCAGGCUUUUUAUGAAAGCUGGUUAGGCUUGGAUUCUGGGAGUUUGCUGGCUCUUCUUCGAGUCAGCUCUUCUUAAAUAUAUUAGCAAGAUCAUCGCUCAAUCAUCUUUGAUAUGAUAAUUAUCUAUAUCAUUAAUGAUACUAGGCAUUUCCUUCACGGGAAAAGAUCAGGCUUAUAGCUGUCUCAGGACAAUAUAUUUGAAUC
rnacentral:misc_RNA from 1 species